AAAUGAGCUAUGGAGAAACUGCAACAGCUGGAGACAGCAAAUCAAGAGGCAGCAGUGAAGCUCGAGAAGCUGAACACUGUUCCUGUAGAAGAGCAAGCAGAGUUCAGGCAGCUGUCUGAUGACAUUCAGGAAUUGCAGCAACUGCUAAACCACGACUAUCGUCGGAAAACGCCUUUACAGACUUCUCUGGUAUACGCGUGCACAAACACACGUCUGUCACCCGUUAGACUGCGCCUCUG